GUCGUCGCGAGGCGGCGUGGGGAGGAAGCUGGAGGCAAAGUGCGGGGCCGACGUACAGGAACCGGAUACGAGGCCGCUGCGGGUGGGUAACCCGGCCGAAUACGGGGACGCCCGAUAGCCACCCGGAACGCGCGGCGGUAAAUCCGGCGGCGACCGCACGAAGGAUCAGUGU
rnacentral:ncRNA from 1 species